rnacentral:tRNA from 1 species
GCUGUGGCUCAGUGGUAGAGCAUUGACUUGGUGUGCAAAAGGUUCCAGGUUCAAUCCCUGACAUCUCUC